CAUGCAAGUCGAACGAGAACGGUACUAGCUUGCUAGUAUGUCAGCUAAGUGGCGGACGCGUGAGUAAUGUAUAGUUAAUCUGCCCUUCAGAGGGGGAUAACAGUUAGAAAUGACUGCUAAUACCCCAUAUACCUUCUACCUUAAUGGUAGUUGGGAAAGUUUUUUCGCUGAAGGAUGAGACUAUAUGGUAUCAGGUAGUUGGUGGGGUAAGAGCCCACCAAGCCAAUGACGCCUAGCUGGUCUGAGAGGAUGAUCAGCCACACUGGAACUGAGACACGGUCCAGACUCCUACGGGAGGCAGCAGUGGGGAAUAUUGCACAAUGGAGGAAACUCUGAUGCAGCAACGCCGCGUGGAGGAUGACACAUUUCGGUGCGUAAACUCCUUUUAUAUGGGAAGAUAAUGACGGUACCAUAUGAAUAAGCACCGGCUAACUCCGUGCCAGCAGCCGCGGUAAUACAGAGGGUGCAAGCGUUACUCGGAAUCACUGGGCGUAAAGCGCGCGCAGGCGGCUAUUUAAGUUGGAUGUGAAAGCCUACGGCUCAACCGUAGAACUGCAUCCAAAACUAUUUAGCUAGAGUGUGGGAGAGGAAGAUGGAAUUAGUUGUGUAGGGGUAAAAUCCGUAGAGAUAACUAGGAAUACCAAAAGCGAAGGCAAUCUUCUGGAACACUACUGACGCUGAGGCGCGAAGGCGUGGGGAGCAAACAGGAUUAGAUACCCUGGUAGUCCACGCAGUAAACGAUGAAUGUUAGUCGUCGGGUAGCUAGUCUAUUCGGUGAUGCAGCUAACGCAUUAAACAUUCCGCCUGGGGAGUACGGUCGCAAGAUUAAAACUCAAAGGAAUAGACGGGGACCCGCACGAGUGGUGGAGCAUGUGGUUUAAUUCGAAGAUACGCGAAGAACCUUACCUAGCCUUGACAUAUAUUAGAACACCCUAGAGAUAGAGUGGUGCCUUCGGGAGCUUUUAUACAGGUGCUGCACGGCUGUCGUCAGCUC
rnacentral:rRNA from 1 species